GACGAACGCUGGCGGCGUGCCUAAUACAUGCAAGUGGAACGCUGAAGGAGGAGCUUGCUUCUCUGGAUGAGUUGCGAACGGGUGAGUAACGCGUAGGUAACCUGCCUGGUAGCGGGGGAUAACUAUUGGAAACGAUAGCUAAUACCGCAUAAGAGUAGAUGUUGCAUGACAUUUGCUUAAAAGGUGCAAUUGCAUCACUACCAGAUGGACCUGCGUUGUAUUAGCUAGUUGGUGAGGUAACGGCUCACCAAGGCAACGAUACAUAGCCGACCUGAGAGGGGGAUCGGCCACACUGGGACUGAGACACGGCCCAGACUCCUACGGGAGGGAGCAGUAGGGAAGCUUCGGCAAUGGACGGAAGUCUGACCGAGCAACGCCGCGGGAGUGAAGAAGGUUGUCGGAUCGUAAAGCUCUGUUGUAAGAGAAGAACGAGUGUGAGAGUGGAAAGUUCACACUGUGACGGUAUCUUACCAGAAAGGGACGGCUAACUACGCG
rnacentral:rRNA from 1 species